rnacentral:rRNA from 1 species
GGAGUUAGCCGGUGCUUCUUCUGCGAGUAACGUCACAGAUGUAAGGUAUUAACUUACACCCUUUCCUCCUCGCUGAAAGUGCUUUACAACCCGAAGGCCUUCUUCACACACGCGGCAUGGCUGCAUCAGGGUUUCCCCCAUUGUGCAAUAUUCCCCACUGCUGCCUCCCGUAGGAGUCUGGGCCGUGUCUCAGUCCCAGUGUGGCUGAUCAUCCUCUCAGACCAGCUAGGGAUCGUCGCCUAGGUGAGCCUUUACCUCACCUACUAGCUAAUCCCACCUGGGCUUAUCCAUCAGCGCAAGGCCCGAAGGUCCCCUGCUUUCCCCCGUAGGGCGUAUGCGGUAUUAGCAGUCGUUUCCAACUGUUAUCCCCACAACUGGCAAAUUCCCAGGCAUUACUCACCCGUCCGCCGCUCGUCAUCUUCAAAGCAAGCUUUUGAAUGUUACCGCUCGACUUGCAUGUGUUAGGCCUGCCGCCAGCGUUCAAUCUGAGCCAUGAUCAAACUCUGA